rnacentral:rRNA from 1 species
UACGGAAGGCAGCAGUGGGGAAUAUUGCACAAUGGGCGAAAGCCUGAUGCAGCUAUGCCGCGUGUAUGAAGAAGGCCUUAGGGUUGUAAAGUACUUUCAUCGGGGAGGAAAAACAAAACUAAUAAUUUUAUUUCUUGACGUUACCCGAAAAAGAAGCACCGGCUAACUCCGUGCCAGCAGCCGCGGUAAUACGGAGGGUGCUAGCGUUAAUCAGAAUUACUGGGCGUAAAGAGCACGUAGGUGGUUUUUUUAAAGUCAGAUGUGAAAUCCCUGGGCUUAACCUAGGAACUGCAUUUUGAAACUGAAAUACUAGAGUAUCGUAGAGGGAGGUAGAAUUCUAGGUGUAGCGGUGAAAUGCGUAGAUAUCUGGAGGAAUACCUGUGGCGAAAGCGGCCUCCUAAACGAAUACUGACACUGAGGUGCGAAAGCGUGGGGAGCAAACAGGGACUUAGAUACCCGU